rnacentral:rRNA from 1 species
GAUGAACGCUGGCGGCGUGCCUAAUACGUGCAAGUCGAGCGAAUGGAUUGAGAGCUUGCUCUUAUGAAGUUAGCGGCGGACGGGUGAGUAACACGUGGGUAACCUGCCCAUAAGACUGGGAUAACUCCGGGAAACCGGGGCUAAUACCGGAUAACAUUUUGAACCGCAUGGUUCGAAAUUGAAAGGCGGCUUCGGCUGUCACUUAUGGAUGGACCCGCGUCGCAUUAGCUAGUUGGUGAGGUAACGGCUCACCAAGGCAACGAUGCGUAGCCGACCUGAGAGGGUGAUCGGCCACACUGGGACUGAGACACGGCCCAGACUCCGACGGGAGGCAGCAGUAGGGAAUCUUCCGCAAUGGACGAAAGUCUGACGGAGCAACGCCGCGUGAGUGAUGAAGGCUUUCGGGUCGUAAAACUCUGUUGUUAGGGAAGAACAAGUGCUAGUUGAAUAAGCUGGCACCUUGACGGUACCUAACCAGAAAGCCACGGCUAACUACGUGCCAGCCACCGCCGUAA